GCAGAACGCGAAGAACCUUACCUACACUUGACAUACCUCUUGGACUUUCAGAGAUGAUUGUCUUCGGUUCGGCCGGGGAGGAUACAGGUGCUGCAUGGCUGUCGUCAGCUCGUGUCGUGAGAUGUUGGGUUAAGUCCCGCAACGAGCGCAACCCUUAUCGUAUGUUGCCAGCAUUUAGUUGGGCACUCAUGCGAGACUGCCGGUGAUAAGCCGGAGGAAGGCGGGGACGACGUCAAGUCAUCAUGGCCCUUACGUGUAGGGCUAGAAACGUGCUACAAUGGUGGUCACAGUGAGCAGCGAGGCUGUGAAGUCAAGCUAAUCUCUAAAAAGCCAUCUCAGUUCAGAUUGUAGUCUGCAACUCGACUAACAUGAAGUUGGAAUCGCUAGU
rnacentral:rRNA from 1 species